AUUGAACGCUGGCGGCAUGCUUUACACAUGCAAGUCGAACGGCAGCGCGGGCUUCGGCCUGGCGGCGAGUGGCGAACGGGUGAGUAAUGCAUCGGAACGUGCCCAGUAGUGGGGGAUAGCCCGGCGAAAGCCGGAUUAAUACCGCAUACGACCUGCGGGUGCAAGCGGGGGACCGAAAGGCCUCGCGCUAUUUGAGCGGUCGAGGUCGGAUUUGCUAGUUGGUGGGGUAAAGGCUUACCAAGGCGACGAUCCGUAGCUGGUCUGAGAGGACGACCAGCCACACUGGGACUGAGACACGGCCCAGACUCCUACGGGAGGCAGCAGUGGGGAAUUUUGGACAAUGGGGGCAACCCUGAUCCAGCCAUGCCGCGUGCGGGAAGAAGGCCUUCGGGUUGUAAACCGCUUUUGUUCGGGAAGAAAUCCUCUGGGCUAAUACCCCGGGGGGAUGACGGUACCGGAAGAAUAAGCACCGGCUAACUACGUG
rnacentral:rRNA from 1 species